rnacentral:tRNA from 1 species
AGGGGGGGUUAGUCCAAAGAAAGACCUCUGAUUUCGGCUCAGAAGAUUAUGGUUUAAAUCCAUGACCCCCUU